ACUGGGUGCGGUGGUGCAUGCCUGUAAUCCAGUAGCUUGGGAGGCUGAGACAGGAGUAUCAAAGUUCCAAGCCAGCCUCAGUAAAAGCAAGGUGCUAAGCAACUCAGUGAGACCCUGUCUCUA
rnacentral:sRNA from 1 species